ensembl:lncRNA
AUGCCUACUACUUGUCAGGCACUAAAUACUAACUCAUUUCAUUCUUACGACAGCCCUGCUUCACAUAUGAGAAAGCUGGGACACAGAAAGCAACUUGCCCAUUGUCCUCCAGUUAGCAGUGGCGGAGCCAGGGUGCAAAUCCAGACUGCACCUGCCCGGAGCCCACGUACUCAAUACCACCCUGCCUUCUGGACAGUCAGGACAAGCAGUUGUGCCUCUGCUACCAUUACUGUGCCAACAAAAGAGAAUUCAUAUCCUCAGCAAGCUAGCACUAAAGGGGACGGCAGAAGUCAUAUUGUCCAUCUUCUUUCUGGAACAGGGAAGAAAUUUGAGACUCAAGAAAGUUACUUCAGCUGAAUCAAAAUUUGAUUUCCAAACACUAUCAGGCAGUAGAAAAAGAAUUUGAAGAUUUAGAUGAAAGGAACUUCUGAUGCCUCCUCCAGGAAAAUAUGUACUUCAUUUUAAAGAGGUGAGAAAGCUUACAUUGUUUUAAAGAGUUUUUUUUUUUUAAGGUAAUGCUGUUGUACUGUC